CUUACCAUGCAAGUCGAACGGUGAACACGGAGCUUGCUCUGUGGGAUCAGUGGCGAACGGGUGAGUAACACGUGAGCAACCUGCCCCUGACUCUGGGAUAAGCGCUGGAAACGGCGUCUAAUACUGGAUAUGUGACGUGACCGCAUGGUCUGCGUCUGGAAAGAAUUUCGGUUGGGGAUGGGCUCGCGGCCUAUCAGCUUGUUGGUGAGGUAAUGGCUCACCAAGGCGUCGACGGGUAGCCGGCCUGAGAGGGUGACCGGCCACACUGGGACUGAGACACGGCCCAGACUCCUACGGGAGGCAGCAGUGGGGAAUAUUGCACAAUGGGCGCAAGCCUGAUGCAGCAACGCCGCGUGAGGGACGACGGCCUUCGGGUUGUAAACCUCUUUUAGCAGGGAAGAAGCGAAAGUGACGGUACCUGCAGAAAAAGCGCCGGCUAACUACGUGCCAGCAGCCGCGGUAAUACGUAGGGCGCAAGCGUUAUCCGGAAUUAUUGGGCGUAAAGAGCUCGUAGGCGGUUUGUCGCGUCUGCUGUGAAAUCCGGAGGCUCAACCUCCGGCCUGCAGUGGGUACGGGCAGACUAGAGUGCGGUAGGGGAGAUUGGAAUUCCUGGUGUAGCGGUGGAAUGCGCAGAUAUCAGGAGGAACACCGAUGGCGAAGGCAGAUCUCUGGGCCGUAACUGACGCUGAGGAGCGAAAGGGUGGGGAGCAAACAGGCUUAGAUACCCUGGUAGUCCACCCCGUAAACGUUGGGAACUAGUUGUGGGGUCCAUUCCACGGAUUCCGUGACGCAGCUAACGCAUUAAGUUCCCCGCCUGGGGAGUACGGCCGCAAGGCUAAAACUCAAAGGAAUUGACGGGGACCCGCACAAGCGGCGGAGCAUGCGGAUUAAUUCGAUGCAACGCGAAGAACCUUACCAAGGCUUGACAUAUACGAGAACGGGCCAGAAAUGGUCAACUCUUUGGACACUCGUAAACAGGUGGUGCAUGGUUGUCGUCAGCUCGUGUCGUGAGAUGUUGGGUUAAGUCCCGCAACGAGCGCAACCCUCGUUCUAUGUUGCCAGCACGUAAUGGUGGGAACUCAUGGGAUACUGCCGGGGUCAACUCGGAGGAAGGUGGGGAUGACGUCAAAUCAUCAUGCCCCUUAUGUCUUGGGCUUCACGCAUGCUACAAUGGCCGGUACAAAGGGCUGCAAUACCGCGAGGUGGAGCGAAUCCCAAAAAGCCGGUCCCAGUUCGGAUUGAGGUCUGCAACUCGACCUCAUGAAGUCGGAGUCGCUAGUAAUCGCAGAUCAGCAAC
rnacentral:rRNA from 1 species